rnacentral:rRNA from 1 species
UACGUAGGGUGCGAGCGUUAAUCGGAAUUACUGGGCGUAAAGCGUGCGCAGGCGGUUCGUUAAGUUCGUUGUGAAAGCCCCGGGCUCAACCUGGGAACUGCAAUGGAAACUGGCGGGCUUGAGUGCGGCAGAGGGGGGUGGAAUUCCGCGUGUAGCAGUGAAAUGCGUAGAGAUGCGGAGGAACACCGAUGGCGAAGGCAGCCCCCUGGGCCGACACUGACGCUCAGGCACGAAAGCGUGGGGAGCAAACAGG